rnacentral:rRNA from 1 species
AAAGGCUGGGCUGUGAUGGGGAGGGAAAAUUAUAGUACCGAAGGUCAUGAUUUCACACUGCCAAGAAAAGCCUCUAGCCAGGGAGAAGGUGCCCGUACCGCAAACCGACACAGGUAGGCGAGAAGAGAAUUCUAAGGCGCGCGGAAGAACUCUCGUUAAGGAACUCGGCAAAAUGACCCCGUAACUUCGGGAGAAGGGGUGCCCCGGUAGUGUGAAUAGCACGAGGGGGCCGCAGUGAAAAGGCCCAAGCGACUGUUUGGCAAAAACACAGGUCUGUGCGAAGCCGUAAGGCGAAGUAUACGGGCUGACGCCUGCCCGGUGCUGGAAGGUUAAGGGGAGUGGUUAGGGGUUAAACCCGAAGCUGUGAACCGAAGCCCCAGUAAACGGCGGCCGUAACGAUAACGGUCCUAAGGUAGCGAAAUUCCUUGUCAGGUAAAUUCUGACCCGCACGAAUGGCGUAACGACUUGGGCGCUGUCUCAACGAGAGAUCCGGUGAAAUUUUAAUACCUGUGAAGAUGCAGGUUACCCGCGACAAGACGGAAAGACCCCAUGGAGCUUUACUGCAGCUUGAUAUUGGACUUUGGUACGAUCUGUACAGGAUAGGUGGGAGCCUUAGAAGCCUGAGCGCCAGCUUAGGUGGAGGCGACGUUGGGAUACCACCCUGAUCGUAUCGGAGUUCUAACCUAGGACCGUAACCCGGUUCGGGGACAGUGUCAGGUGGGCAGUUUGACUGGGGCGGUCGCCUCCUAAAGAGUAACGGAGGCGCCCCAAGGUUCCCUCAGAAUGGUUGGAAAUCAUUCGAAGAGUGCAAAGGCAUAAGGGAGCUUGACUGCGAGACAUACAGGUCGAGCAGGGACGAAAGUCGGGCUUAGUGAUCCGGUGGUACCGCAUGGAAGGGCCAUCGCUCAACGGAUAAAAGCUACCCUGGGGAUAACAGGCUUAUCUCCCCCAAGAGUCCACAUCGACGGGGAGGUUUGGCACCUCGAUGUCGGCUCAUCGCAUCCUGGGGCUGAAGUAGGUCCCAAGGGUUGGGCUGUUCGCCCAUUAAAGCGGUACGCGAGCUGGGUUCAGAACGUCGUGAGACAGUUCGGUCCCUAUCUGUCGUGGGCGUAGGAAAUUUGAGAGGAGCUGUCCUUAGUACGAGAGGACCGGGAUGGACGUACCGCUGGUGUACCAGUUGUUCCGCCAGGAGCACCGCUGGGUAGCCAAGUACGGACGGGAUAAGCGCUGAAAGCAUCUAAGCGUGAAGCCCCCCUCAAGAUGAGAUUUCCCCAUUAGUAAGACCCCUUGAAGACGACGAGGUUGAUAGGUUGGAGGUGGAAGCGCAGCAAUGUGUGGAGCUGACCAAUACUAAUCGGUCGAGGGCUUAUGC